UACGAAGGGGGCUAGCGUUGCUCGGAAUCACUGGGCGUAAAGCGCACGUAGGCGGAUUGUUAAGUCAGGGGUGAAAUCCUGGAGCUCAACUCCAGAACUGCCUUUGAUACUGGCGAUCUUGAGUCCGGGAGAGGUGAGUGGAACUGCGAGUGUAGAGGUGAAAUUCGUAGAUAUUCGCAAGAACACCAGUGGCGAAGGCGGCUCACUGGCCCGAUACUGACGCUGAGGUGCGAAAGCUAGGGGAGCAAACGGG
rnacentral:rRNA from 1 species